UGUUGGAGAACCAUUAGCAGGAUCAUAAUAAGUUAAAUUUAAAUUAAUUUUAAUUAUUAAAUUUACCCACACAUGGGAUCAAUAGGAUACCAUAACGAUGAAGGUCGUAAUAGAAUACGAAAGUAUAUUAUUUACCUAAUUAAUAUAUUUAUAAUGUAUUGAUAACCCUUUGAACUUAAGCAUAUCAUUAAAAGGAGGAAAAGAAACUAACUAGGAUUUCUUUAGUAGCAGCGAGUGAACAAGAAAUAACCCUCCAUUGUAAUCCUUAAUUGGAGUUGUAAAUGGUUUAUUCUAUUAAUUAUUUUAUAGAGAAUAUUAUAUUCGUUAUUAAUAGAAUAGAAUAAUGUACUUGAGUAGAGCUGCUUGGUAGUGCAGUUUGAAUAAAGGUAGAAUGAAAUAUCUAAGGUUAAAUAUAAUGGUAUACCGAUAGAAAAUAAGUACUGCGAAGGAACUUGUGAAAAUGUGUGGAGUUUAGCCUUAUUUUUAAGGACCCGUCUUGAAACACGGACCAAGGAGAUUAUAAUUAUAGCAAGAUAAAAAUUAAAUUUUUUAAUCUUUAUUAACUUGAUUACUUAUAAUUAUAACACCCGAAACACAGUGAACUAUACAUGUUCUGGUUGAAGAUAAGCAACAGUUUAUUGGAAGACCAUAAUCAUUCUGACGUGCAAAUCGAUGAUUUAAGAUGUGUAUAGUGGCGAAAGACCAAUCGAACUGUGUGGUAGCUGGUUCACAGCGAAAUGUCUCUCAGGACAGCAGUUAUUAUUAUAUAGGACAUAGAUGUAGGACACUGUUAUAGUUUUUUAACUAUGAGAAAUCUUUAAUUCUAUGGAAUUAUAUAAAUUAAAUUUAUAUAAUGAAUCUAUUGUAUAACUAGUGGGCACAUGAUUGUAAGAAUGAUGUGCAAAAAGGGAUGAACCUUAUGAAACAUUAAAUAUUCUAAAUAGUAGAUAUUAUACCAUAAAUAUGAUGAAUACAUUGAGACAGUAGGGCGGUUGUUAUGGAAGUAGAAAUCCGCUAAGAAACGUGUUACAACGUACCUACCGAAUGUAUUAUUGUAUAAAAUGGAAGAAGAUUACUACUUUUAUGAGAUGUUUCUAAUAAAUAUUUAGGUAGCUGUGCAAUUUGUUUGUAUUGAAGUAUAUAUGUGAGUAUAUAUAGAAGAAACAAAUGAGCCGAUCUUGGAGGCAGUAACAAUAUAUUUGUAUAGAUAUAGACUAGGGUUUUCAAUUAUUAUUGAAGUGAAUCGGUGUUAUUUAUAAAAACAAAAAAGAUUAAUAAUUCUUUUAUUAAAUUAUUAUAAGGUAACUUGAUAAUGACAGUAUAUUUCAAUAAAUUUAAGAUAAAUGAAUUAAAUUUAAUUUUAACUAUGGGAUUGUCAUGAUAAGAAAUAGUUAGUUAUAUAUACUUGAUAAAAAUAAAAUAAUUUUAACCGUACCUAUACCGCAUCAGGUGUCUUUGUAUCAUAACAAAUAUUUUAAAUUAAAGUAAGUAAGGGAAUUCGGCAAAUUAGAUCUGUAACUUUGGGAUAAAGAUUGGCUCUAGCAUGCUAGAACUUUUACUAUGUAAGGAAUCUGACUGUUUAUUAAAAACAUAGCUUUUUGUAUUUACAAGAAGUGAAUUCUGCCCAGUGCAUUUAUUGUUAAAGUUGUGUAAGCGAAUGUAAACGGCGGGAGUAACUAUGACUCUCUUAAGGUAGCCAAAUGCCUCGUCAUUUAAUUGGUGACGCGCAUGAAUGGAGCAACGAGAUUCCUACUGUCCCUACUUACAAUUUUGUGAAACCACGAGACAAGGGAACGGGCUUGUUAUUUAUCAGCGGGGAAAGAAGACCCUGUUGAGCUUGACUUUAGUAUGUUUUAAUAAAUAUUCGGUAUAUUGUAGAGAGGUGGGAGAAGUAUUGUGAAACCACUAGUAUGUUUGAAUAUUUAUUUAUUAGAAUAUAUGGGGAGUUUGGCUGGGGCGGUACAGCUGUUAAAAAGUAACACAGCUGUCCUAAGGUAGAUGAAUGAUGGAUGGUAACCAUCNGUUUAUUAUAAGGGAAUAAAUCUGCUUUACUUUAUGCAUAUGACUGUAUUUAGUAGGGAAACCUUGGCCUAGCGAUCCCAAUUACAUUCAUUAUGUAUUGGGUGAUUGAAAAGUUACCACAGGGAUAACUGGCUUGUAGCAGGCAAGCGAUCAUAGCGACUCUGCUUUUUGAUUCUUCGAUGUCGUCUCUUCUGAUCAUCGUAGUGUAUAUGUUACGAAGUGUUGGAUUGUUCACCCGGUAAUGAGGAACGUGAGAUGGGUUUAGACCGUCGUGAGACAGGUUAGUUUUACCCUACUGUAAGUAUUUUUGAGUGAACUUUGAUAGUACGAGAGGAACUCUAAGUGAUGACCACUGGUAGUGCGAUUAACUAUUAAGUUAUGUUGCUUAGCUACGUCGUUUCGAUUAAGGCUGAAAGCCUCUUAAGCCUGAAGCGUAGCUCAAAGAUACCAUUUAGGAGAAUACUACUCUUUUAAGCAGAAGUGUAAGAAUGAAGGUGUAUGCCGACAUUUUGAGGUUACUGCUUUUUUUGUAUGUAUAGUAGGUGUUGGCCCUUCACAAGAGAGCGUCUUUUUUUUUAUUUUAUUUGGUACUACCCUCCACAAGAAAGCGUCCACGUCGCGGAGAGUGGGCCGAUGUUUUUUAACUAGGUGCCCCC
rnacentral:rRNA from 1 species